GCGAGAAAACUUUGCAAUGUGCGAAAGCACGACAAGGUUAAUCCGAGUGGUUUCUGCUAAAGAAACCUUUUGUCAGUCCUAGAAACACUAACGAAUAAGGGGUGGGCAAGUUCUGGUGUCAGCCGCCGCGGUAAAACCAGCACCUCAAGUGGUCAGGAUGAUUAUUGGGCCUAAAGCAUCCGUAGCUCGUUUUGUAAGUUUUCGGUUAAAUCCAUGCGCUUAACGUAUGGGCUGCCGGGAAUACUGCAUAACUAGGAAGUGGGAGAGGUAGACGGUACUCGGUAGGAAGGGGUAAAAUCCUUUGAUCUAUUGAUGACCACCUGUGGCGAAGGCGGUCUACCAGAACACGUUCGACGGUGAGGGAUGAAAGCUGGGGGAGCAAACCGGAUUAGAUACCCGCGUAGUCCCUGAGCGGGCUGGCAAGGCGCAU
rnacentral:rRNA from 1 species